rnacentral:lncRNA from 1 species
CCACAUUCUGCCCUGAUGGAGCUGGGCUUGGUGCCCAGUAAAAGUACAGAGGAUCCUUGUGCCAUGACUGUUUGGCCAGCCCUAGUGCCAGGGGGCUGUCUGGCAGUGCUCAUAGUUCUCUGGAGUGCAGCCAGGAUCUGCCAGGCAGUCUGACUCCAUCCAGAAGCUUCUCAACCAGAUGAAGAAGUGAUGUCUGUGAUCUGCUUUGGGGAGGGACUUCUCAAGUAACUGUGACUUAAAAUAUACCCUGCCUGACUCAGAGGGGCACUGUCAUCUUGGAAUUCAAAGAUGCAUCUUGCGGUUUCCAAGACACCUCCACUGUUUUGAACAUACAGGUGCCAACAUAUAUUCAAACAAGAAUCAUCUGAAAUAAGGAUUCGGAAGAAGCACAAUUUUGUGUAAACAUAUCUGAAAUUUAAGAACCUUUAAAUAAUGGGUCAUGUAUAUGGUCUCUGUCUACUCAUUAUAGACUUAAUGCUAAGUAAUUUAAAAAAUGUACUAACAGAUUAGAGAUUCAACUAAUAAAGGUUUAUUUCCUAACAUGUACAAAGAACCUGCAAAGA